UACGUAGGCAGCGAGCGUUGUUCGGAGUUACUGGGCGUAAAGCGUGCGUAGGCGGCGGCCCAAGUCUGGUGUGAAAUCUCCCGCUUAACCGGGAGGGUGCGCCGGAAACUGGGUUGCUGGAGUACCGGAGAGGCAGGCGGAAUUCCUGGUGUAGCGGUGAAAUGCGCAGAUAUCAGGAGGAACACCGGUGGCGGAAGGCGGGUCUCUGGGCCGAUACUGACGUGGAGGAGCGGAAAGCGUGGGGAGCGAACAGG
rnacentral:rRNA from 1 species